rnacentral:rRNA from 1 species
GAUUAGAAGCUUGCUUCUAUGACGUUAGCGGCGGACGGGUGAGUAACACGUGGGCAACCUGCCUGUAAGACUGGGAUAACUUCGGGAAACCGAAGCUAAUACCGGAUAGGAUCUUCUCCUUCAUGGGAGAUGAUUGAAAGAUGGUUUCGGCUAUCACUUACAGAUGGGCCCGCGGUGCAUUAGCUAGUUGGUGAGGUAACGGCUCACCAAGGCAACGAUGCAUAGCCGACCUGAGAGGGUGAUCGGCCACACUGGGACUGAGACACGGCCCAGACUCCUACGGGAGGCAGCAGUAGGGAAUCUUCCGCAAUGGACGAAAGUCUGACGGAGCAACGCCGCGUGAGUGAUGAAGGCUUUCGGGUCGUAAAACUCUGUUGUUAGGGAAGAACAAGUACAAGAGUAACUGCUUGUACCUUGACGGUACCUAACCAGAAAGCCACGGCUAACUACGUG